rnacentral:rRNA from 13 species
AACUUUCAACAACGGAUCUCUUGGCUCUCGCAUCGAUGAAGAACGCAGCGAAAUGCGAUAAGUAAUGUGAAUUGCAGAAUUCAGUGAAUCAUCGAAUCUUUGAACGCACCUUGCGCCCCUUGGUAUUCCGAGGGGCAUGCCUGUUUGAGUGUCAUG